GAUCCUGGCUCAGGAUGAACGCUGGCGGCGUGCUUAACACAUGCAAGUCGAACGAAGCACUCUAUUUGAUUUUCUUCGGAAAUGAAGAUUUUGUUGACUGAGUGGCGGACGGGGUGAGUAACGCGUGGGUAACCUGCCUCAUACAGGGGGAGUAACAGUUGGAAACGACUGCUAAUACCGCAUAAGCGCACGGUAUCGCAUGGUACAGUGUGAAAACACCGUCGGGUAGUGAGAUGGACCCGCCG
rnacentral:rRNA from 1 species